GGAGCGGCCGAUAUCUGAUUAGCUAGUUGGUGGGGUAAAGGCCUACCAAGGCGACGAUCAGUAGCUGGUCUGAGAGGACGACCAGCCACACUGGAACUGAGACACGGUCCAGACUCUACGGGAGGCAGCAGUGGGGAAAUUUGGACAAUGGGCGCAAGCCUGAUCCAGCCAUUCCGCGUGAGUGAAGAAGGCCUUCGGGUUGUAAAGCUCUUUCGCAAGGGAAGAAACGAUACAGUCGAAUAAACUGUGUUAAUGACGGUACCUUGAUAAGAAGCACCGGCUAACUACGUGCCAGCAGCCGCGGUAAUACGUAGGGUGCGAGCGUUAAUCGGAAUUACUGGGCGUAAAGCGUGCGCAGGCGGUUUUGUAAGUCAGAUGUGAAAUCCCCGGGCUCAACCUGGGAAC
rnacentral:rRNA from 1 species